AUGUACAUUCCUACAACAUAGCGUUAAUGCAUUGGAUCCCAUUAGAACUCCACAGUUAAGCGCGCUUGGGCUAGCGUAGUACCGAAAAGUCCUAGUGUUUUACAUG
rnacentral:rRNA from 1 species